GAGUUUGAUCAUGGCUCAGAUUGAACGCUGGCGGCAUGCUUUACACAUGCAAGUCGAACGGCAGCGGGGGCUUCGGCCCGCCGGCGAGUGGCGAACGGGUGAGUAAUGCAUCGGAACGUACCCAGUCGUGGGGGAUAACGCAGCGAAAGCUGUGCUAAUACCGCAUACGUCCUGAGGGAGAAAGCGGGGGACCUUCGGGCCUCGCGCGAUUGGAGCGGCCGAUGUCGGAUUAGCUAGUUGGUGGGGUAAAGGCUCACCAAGGCGACGAUCCGUAGCUGGUCUGAGAGGAUGAUCAGCCACACUGGGACUGAGACACGGCCCAGACUCCUACGGGAGGCAGCAGUGGGGAAUUUUGGACAAUGGGGGCAACCCUGAUCCAGCCAUGCCGCGUGAGUGAAGAAGGCCUUCGGGUUGUAAAGCUCUUUCAGUCGGGAAGAAACGGAGCGCUCUAACAUAGCGCUCUACUGACGGUACCGACAGAAGAAGCACCGGCUAACUACGUGCCAGCAGCCGCGGUAA
rnacentral:rRNA from 1 species